rnacentral:rRNA from 1 species
UACGGAGGGUGCAAGCGUUGUUCGGAAUUACUGGGCGUAAAGAGCGUGUAGGCGGUUUGGCAAGUCAGAUGUGAAAGCCCUGGGCUCAACCUAGGAAGUGCAUUUGAAACUGCCAUUCUAGAGUAUGGGAGAGGAGAGUGGAAUUCCCAGUGUAGAGGUGAAAUUCGUAGAUAUUGGGAGGAACACCUGUGGCGAAGGCGACUCUCUGGACCAAUACUGACGCUGAGACGCGAAAGCGUGGGUAGCAAACAGGAUUAGAUACCCCCGUA